UACGGAGGGUGCGAGCGUUGUCCGGAAUCAUUGGGCGUAAAGGGCGCGUAGGUGGCGGGACAAGCGUGCGGUGAAAGCCUGGGGCUCAACCCCGGGUCGGCCGUGCGAACUGUUUUGCUUGAGCACUGUAGAGGCAGGCGGAAUUCCGGGUGUAGCGGCGGAAUGCGUAGAGAUCCGGAAGAACACCGGUGGCGAAGGCGGCCUGCUGGGCAGUAGCUGACACUGAGGCGCGACAGCGUGGGGAGCAAACAGG
rnacentral:rRNA from 1 species